GAUUAACGCUAGCGGCAGGCCUAAUACAUGCAAGUUGAACGGGAUUGAUUGUAGCAAUACGGUCAUGAGAGUAGCGCACGGGUGCGUAACACGUAUGCAACCUACCUAUAACUGGGGAAUAGCCGCCUGAAAGGGAGAUUAAUACUGCAUAAUAUUAUUGAAUGGCAUCAUUUGAUAAUUAAACCUCAGGGGGUUAUUGAUGGGCAUGCGUCCGAUUAGCUAGUUGGUGAGGUAGUGGCUCACCAAGGCUACGAUCGGUAGGGGGUCUGAGAGGAGGAUCCCCCACAUCGGAAGUGAGACACGGACCAGAGUACUACGGGGGGCAGCAGAAAGGAAUAUUGGACAAUGGGCACAAGCCUGAUCCAGCCAUGCCGCGUGAGGGAUGAAGGCCCUAUGGGUCGUAAACUUCUUUUAAACGGGACGAAACCCCUCGACGUGUCGAGGGCUGACGGUACCGUAAGAAUAAGGGUCGGCUAACUUCGUGCCAGCAGCCGCAGUAAUAC
rnacentral:rRNA from 1 species